AGUACUACGCCGGAUGAACGGAAAUCAUUGAUGUUGAUUAAUAUGUAGCAAAAAGCUUCUGGUGCUA
rnacentral:tRNA from 1 species